rnacentral:rRNA from 1 species
AUUGAACGCUGGCGGCAUGCUUUACACAUGCAAGUCGAACGGCAGCGCGGGCUUCGGCCUGGCGGCGAGUGGCGAACGGGUGAGUAAUGCAUCGGAACGUGCCCAGUAGUGGGGGAUAGCCCGGCGAAAGCCGGAUUAAUACCGCAUACGACCUGAGGGUGAAAGCGGGGGACCGAAAGGCCUCGCGCUAUUGGAGCGGCCGAUGUCGGAUUAGCUAGUUGGUGGGGUAAAGGCUUACCAAGGCGACGAUCCGUAGCUGGUCUGAGAGGACGACCAGCCACACUGGGAAUGGGACACGGCCCCGGAUCCUACGGGAGGGCGGAGGGGGGAAUUUUGGACAAUGGGGGCAAACCUGAUCCCGCCAUGCCGCGGGCGGGAAGAAGGCCUUCGGGUUGUAAAACGCUUUUGUUCGGGAAGAAAUCCUCUGGGCUAAUACCCCGGGGGGAUGACGGUACCGGAAGAAUAAGCACCGGCUAACUACGUG